GACGAACGCUGGCGGCGUGCUUAACACAUGCAAGUCGAGCGGAAAGGCCCUUCGGGGUACUCGAGCGGCGAACGGGUGAGUAACACGUGAGUAAUCUGCCCCUGGCUUUGGGAUAGCCACCGGAAACGGUGAUUAAUACCGGAUAUGACCACUUGAUGCAUGUUGGGUGGUGGAAAGUUUUUCGGCCAGGGAUGUGCUCGCGGCCUAUCAGCUUGAUGGUGAGGUAAUGGCUCACCAUGGCUUCGACGGGUAGCCGGCCUGAGAGGGUGACCGGUCACACUGGGACUGAGACACGGCCCAGACUCCUACGGGAGGCAGCAGUGGGGAAUAUUGGACAAUGGGCGGAAGCCUGAUCCAGCAACGCCGCGUGAGGGAUGACGGCCUUCGGGUUGUAAACCUCUUUCGGUAGGGACGAAGCGCAAGUGACGGUACCUACUAAAGAAGCACCGGCCAACUACGUGCCAGCAGCCGCGGUAAUACGUAGGGUGCGAGCGUUGUCCGGAAUUAUUGGGCGUAAAGGGCUCGUAGGCGGUUUGUCGCGUCGGGAGUGAAAACCAGGUGCUUAACACCUGGCUUGCUUUCGAUACGGGCAGACUAGAGGUAUUCAGGGGAGAACGGAAUUCCUGGUGUAGCGGUGAAAUGCGCAGAUAUCAGGAGGAACACCGGUGGCGAAGGCGGUUCUCUGGGAAUAUCCUGACGCUGAGGAGCGAAAGUGUGGGGAGCGAACAGGAUUAGAUACCCUGGUAGUCCACACCGUAAACGUUGGGCGCUAGGUGUGGGGUCCAUUCCACGGAUUCCGUGCCGCAGCUAACGCAUUAAGCGCCCCGCCUGGGGAGUACGGCCGCAAGGCUAAAACUCAAAGGAAUUGACGGGGGCCCGCACAAGCGGCGGAGCAUGCGGAUUAAUUCGAUGCAACGCGAAGAACCUUACCUGGGUUUGACAUACACCCUGCCGCUCCAGAGAUGGGGCUUCUUUUGGGGGUGUACAGGUGGUGCAUGGCUGUCGUCAGCUCGUGUCGUGAGAUGCUGGGUUAAGUCCCGCAACGAGCGCAACCCUCGUUCUAUGUUGCCAGCACGUAAUGGUGGGGACUCAUAGGAGACUGCCGGGGUCGACUCGGAGGAAGGUGGGGAUGACGUCAAGUCAUCAUGCCCCUUAUGUCCAGGGCUUCACGCAUGCUACAAUGGCCGGUACAAAGGGCUGCGAUCCCGUGAGGGGGAGCGAAUCCCAAAAAGCCGGUCUCAGUUCGGAUUGGGGUCUGCAACUCGACCCCAUGAAGUCGGAGUCGCUAGUAAUCGCAGAACAGCAACGCUGCGGUGAAUACGUUCCCGGGCCU
rnacentral:rRNA from 1 species